rnacentral:rRNA from 1 species
GAUGAACGCUGGCGGCGUGCUUAACACAUGCAAGUCGAACGGAAAGGCCCAAGCUUGUUUGGGUACUCGAGGGGCGAACGGGUGAGUAACACGUGGGUGAUCCGCCCGGCACUUCGGGAUAAGCCUGGGAAACUGGGUCUAAUACCGGAUAAGAUCUCAUUUUGGGUGGUGUGGUGGAAAGUUUUUCGGGGUGGGGUGGGCUCGCGGCCUAUCAGCUUGUUGGGGGGGUAAUGGCCUACCAAGGCGGCGGCGGGUAGCCGGCCUGGGAGGGGGGACGGCCACAUUGGGACUGAGAUACGGCCCAGACUCCUACGGGAGGCAGCAGUGGGGAAUAUUGCACAAUGGGCGCAAGCCUGGUGCAGCGACGCCGCGUGGGGGAUGACGGCCUUCGGGUUGUAAACUCCUUUCGCUAGGGACGAAGCGCGAGUGACGGUACCUGGAGAAGAAGCACCGGCUAACUACGUG